CAGUAGCCGCGGUAAUGCGUAGGUCCCGAGCGUUGUCCGGAUUUAUUGGGCGUAAAGCGAGCGCAGGCGGUUAGAUAAGUCUGAAGUUAAAGGCUGUGGCUUAACCAUAGUACGCUUUGGAAACUGUUUAACUUGAGUGCAGAAGGGGAGAAUGGAAUUCCAUGUGUAGCGGUGAAAUGCGUAGAUAUAUGGAGGAACACCGGUGGCGAAAGCGGCUCUCUGGUCUGUAACUGACGCUGAGGCUCGAAAGCGUGGGGAGCGAACAGGAUUAGAUACCCCAGUAGUCCCUGUCUCUUAUACC
rnacentral:rRNA from 1 species